GCGGUGUGUACGGCAUUUCGCACAUCAGCAGACCUCUCGAGAGUAUUUUUCAGUCCAAAGGUGCUCCGUGAACCACUAAAAUUGUGUUUUCUUGAUAACGGGAGGGACUUAUGCUACUGUGCCCAAGAUGAAGCCAACCUAUAUUGGUCUUUUAUUCCUCACUUGUGUGUAUGCUGCUUCCGGAGAAGGGUUGCAAGUGGAAGAGCAGGAAGGUAAUUUUAUAUUUAAAGCCAAUUUUCCGU
rnacentral:lncRNA from 1 species